ACCUGCAUGGCAUAGUGGUUUGAUUCCUGGAUUACAACUCUGGAGACCAGGGUUCAAUUCCCAGCUCAGCCA